UCGGAAUGUAACAGGGGCUCCGGUGCGCCAAAGUCAAGCCCAGCUUUUCUGUACUAUCCGGCUUGUAAACUGCUGGGAACACGGUCUUGCCCCGCCUAAAAUGAUUUACAUAGUCCGGCCCAUCAGAGAACCUUUGAGAAUCUGGCCCUGCCCAACCAGCCAAUUAACACUCCUGCGCUCCUCACCUCGUGGUCCAGACUGAAUUGUAAUCCGGCUUAAACUGGGGUCUCUCCUGGCCUUGGAGGCUACCUCUCUGA
rnacentral:lncRNA from 1 species